GGCCCUGCCUCCCUCUUGCCCAGCGGCAUCCGCUUGCUGCUGCCACCGCCUCCUCAUCUUCUGCCCAGCCAACCGGACUGCCCCGCUGCAGUGAUGUGCGACAAGGAGUUCAUGUGGGCCCUGAAAAACGGAGACUUGGAUGAGGUGAAAGACGGUGGCCAAGGGAGAAGAUGUCAACUGGACACUAGAAGGUGGAAGGAAGCCUCUUCAUUACGCAGCAGACUGUGGGCAGCUUGAAAUUCUGGAAUUUCUGCUGCUAAAAGGAGCAGAUAUUAAUGCUCCAGAUAAACAUCAUAUUACUCCUCUGCUGUCUGCUGUCUAUGAGGGUCAUGUUUCUUGUGUGAAAUUGCUUCUGUCAGAAGGUGCUGAUAAGACUGUGAAAGGCCCAGAUGGACUGACCGCCUUUGAAGCCACUGACAACGAGGCAAUCAAAGCUCUUCUCCAGUGAUGGAUGGACGGACUGAUAACUUGGGAAGAAUGACUCUCCUGUGGCCUCACACUGCUCCCUGUCUGUCUGUCACUCUCUUAUCUGCCAGCUUCUUCAGCUAAAUACUUUAAGAGGGGUGAGGGGAGAGAGAAAUUCAUAACAAAUCAGUCUACCAGGAAAAAAAAAAAAAAAAAACACCAUGUUUUGGAGGAGGGGCUAAAGAAUCAUGAUCAGGCUUUUACUGGGAUUCCUGAUCAAGUAAGCCUCUUUUCCCUUUCUAAUAAAAUGUACACCUUAUACCCAAGGGAGAGCAAAGACAAAAUACACCAGUAACAUUUGACCUUUUCAGCUCCCUAGCUAAUAUAUUAAUUAGAUUGUGUUGAAGGUCUGAUUCUACAAAGGCCAACUCUACAUAUUUGGUAGCCCUAACUGUGUGAGCAGUAGUGGCUGCUGUGAUGUAAACUUAGGGUGCUGAGAUAAGCAAUUAGCUCUAGCCUUCUGCCUUAAGAAUGCACUCUACUGGGGAUUUCCUGGCAUAGGUAAGAGCGCUGCCUAUAAGGUUGGUGACCAAAUCUUUCCUCAGUGACUUUAAGCUUUAUGUGAAAGCUUAGUUAAGGUAAGGAGGGGCACACUCCUAAAUUGCUGGAUGACUGAACUUUGGAUUUUCUCUCCCCUUUCACAUGGAUUUCAUGUCUCUUUAGAUACAGCUGACUAGUUUUAUUUAUAAAAUCUUAAGUUUGGGAAGUCUAAAGGAGAAACCAUUCCAGUAUGCAUAUUUUUUUCUCCUCUAGAUUCUUACAUUUAUAUAGCAUUGAAACACUUUCAAACUCCUGCUGGUAGUAAAAGGGGAUUUAAAAAUAGAAUCAUAGCCAUAAGGCUGUUAGUAUCAUAUAAAGAGAGAACAGUUAUCUUAGUACCUAUGGAUUUUCUUUAUUAGCUGUUUGAAUGGAUUGACCUCAGUUAUGUGUGGAGAAUUAAAGAACAUUCUUUAGAAUGCCUCUCUCAGACCCAUCUUGAAUGCUGAUUACUUAUUGCACCAAAGCUAUCACUGGGGGAAGAUUUACUGUUUGGACAAAGUUAGCCCCAUCCCUUCAAAAAUACACUUGUAACCAGGUUUCCCAGAGUUGUUGAUAGGCGUCUGCUGAACAUAUGCCAACCCACCUGCAUAAUAUUUUUUGUCGCUUUUAUGAAUCGCAUAAAGUGUGAUGACUUCAAAAUGUAUUCUCUGGUCUUAGAAUACAGUGCCCUAAAAUGGUGUUCUUAUGACCUGCAGAUAUUUACACAUAUUUCCAAAUAUUUAUUUCAUGAGCAGUACAGCUAACUAACAUAUAUAAGCUUAAAUUUUAUAUCUUGCAUUUGAAAUAUUGAUUCCUUUGACUUGCCAUCCACAUAAGCUUACUAAAAAAGAGUUUUUUCUUAGCCAAGUCAUGCAAUAAUUGAAUAUACCUCAAAUUUUGAGAGAGGGGAGGGUGGGUUAGGGCCUGAUAUUCAGAUUGUGGAUAAUAAUUGAUUUUUAAAGGCAACAUAGCAUUCUACAGCAGGGUUAAACUAUUAUCAAGAACAGUCACCCUGGUUAAUAAGUUUUACUGAUGACUUGCUGAUUGGUUGGUUGGCAUGUGUUUGUGUGGGUGGGUGUGUAGGUGUGUAUGGGUGUGUGUAUUUUUCCCCAUGAGCCCUUUUUUUAAUCCUGUGGCUUUUUCACUUACAACUAGCCUAACCCUGUAAUUUUCCUACAUCCAAGAAAACAAACACAAAGUAGUGGUUUAAAUACUUUGUUGUAUUUGGCUAAUUUUGCUGUCUUAAUGCAGCCUAUUAGGAGUUGGGUUAAAAGUCAGUAAUCAGUACUUUAUUACAUCACUGAACUAAAAUAUGGAGACAUCCUCAUUGAAAACAGAGGUCAUUCUAUCAGUCUAUAACUAUCAAUGUAAUGCAGCAGGGUGUUUUGAUACCUUUGUUUUCACCUCUUGACAUAAUGCUAUUUAAAGGCUUGAAUUUUCCUCUUUACAUAAUUUUCACCAUUACUUUCAAAGUGUUUUGUUGUAGUUGGCUAUUGCAGAGAGUGCACUGUCCUAUCAUUCCUAAACCUGGUCUGCUUUCUACAUUCAUGGUAUGGAAACCAUGUGAUUCUUUGUACAGUUUAUCCUGAUGUUCCUUGUAAUGCAGUAGAGGCUGUUUCGCCUUCCCUCUUCUUUCUCAGCCUUUUUGUAAACCCCAUAAUUAUGAAGCGAUUGCUUGAGGAAAUAACAUAUAAACAUAGAAUUGAAUAGACUGACCAAGAUGGUUCACAGUUUCUUUUUUAACUAGGUUAUUUAUAAUGUAUUUCUGAGCCACUUGGCAGACAAAUUCACAACACUUAAUGUUCAUAUUUUGAGUAAAGGAAGCUAAAACCAUGUUUGCUUUUUGGUACUACACGCAUUAGCAAAAAGUUACGUAAGUUUUGCUCUCCACUGAAGUAAUACUUAACAUCUC